UGUCGGCGUCUGCGCAGAGGGCCCCUUCCGCCUGCGCGCUGGCCCCUCCUAGUCAGUGACUGUCGUGCCGUCUGCCGCGUUCAGCUGCAUCCAAAAUGGCCGACAAGAAGGACGACUCGCGGGGCGACAUCGAGAGUAAGGAGCUGCUGGGCACCUACGGCAUCCUGGUGGCUUUCCUGCUCUUCAUCUACGUGCUGUACAACGUCAUCUACUGAGGUGGUGUCCACCGGGCGCAGCCGGCGCUCAUGCCGGACACAAGGCCACCGGAAGCGAUGACAGCGUGCCGUCAAGUCGAGCUGCUCUUGUCUUCUCAGCGUGCCGUCAAGUCGAGCUGCUCUUGGCUUCUCUGUGGUUGGCCGACCCCAUCAGCCGAGCAGAAGGGUGCCAGUCAGCUGCGAUGACGUUUGAAGGCGCGGGCGGCACGUGCCCAGCCCGUCACUGCCGCUCGACGGGCGCCAAUUGGCCUUUGGCAGCCGAUGGCGUUGAUGUGUUUUCAUUCGAAGAAUGACGCGUCGACUUCGGCGAGAAAAUACACAGCGCUGCCACCAGUGUUGGGCCAUGUUUCGCGCUGGGAAAUCGAUCGAGAGAUGUUUCGACAGAUGACGUGCCUGUCAAUCACGUUGCAUGAUCCUGUCCGGCCGCGGCAGAGCGAUGACCGAUGUGACUGGAUUAGAAUAGGCGGGCGGAUGCACUGCAUCGCGUAGUUUUACCUUUUUAUACAGAAAUACGGAGGGAAUGGAUACAUGCAGCACCUAUUGCCAGACAGUUACAGAAGAGCGAAUGCAGCGUGCAGAGCAAGGAUGUUUGGGCAAAUUAUCCCACACAGUUUGAUAUGAUCAGUGAGCGUGUUUUGCGGCCUGACCUGCGUGUCCCCGUCCUUUCAAAAUGUAGCGAAGAUUUGUUAUGAAAAGUAUCCUCAGCAGUUGUUCGAGCAACGGUCGUGUUGGUAGAAUACCAGUUGUUUCUCGAAUGGGGACUUAAUCUAAUUACAUGGACACAUGGCCAUGGACAGGCCAUUACGUGGCCUGUCCUCGUCUCGUCUCCUGGGAUCCCUGUGCGGCGUGCCUUUGCAAUAAGCAGUGUGUCAACUUAUAGUCCUGCACAAGGCAUAUAAAGUGAAGUAAAUGUGCUUCUCGCAAUACAUGGCUGGAAUAAAA